rnacentral:rRNA from 1 species
UGCCCAGUGACCAUAUGUUUCCGGCCGUGGUACUUUGACCGUGCGAAGGUAGCGCAAUCACUUGUCUUUUAAAUGAAGACCUGUAUGAAUGGCAUGACGAGGGCUUAACUGUCUCCUUUUUCCAGUCAAUGAAAUUGAUCUUCCCGUGCAGAAGCGGGAAUAAUAUCAUAAGACGAGAAGACCCUGUGGAGCUUCAGACACUAAAUCAGCCCUUGUCCAAAAUCCCAAUUAAGGGGCCGAACACUAGAGUAAAGCCUGAUUUAACGUCCUUCGGUUGGGGCGACCUUGGGGAAAGAAAAACCCCCAACGCGGACACAGAAGUAUUUACUACUUCCAAAACUAAGAGCCGCCACUCAAAGUAUCAGGAAAUUUCUGAACAACUAUAUGAUCCGGCCUAAACGCCCGAUCAACGGACCGAGUUACCCCAGGGGAUAACAGCGCAAUUCCUCUUUUAGAGCCCAUAUCGACAAGAGGGUUUACGACCUCGAUGUUGGAUCAGGACAUCCUAAUGGUGCAGCCGCUAUUAACGGGUUCGUAUUGUUCAACGAUUAAAGUCCUACGUGAAACCCUGAA